UGUCCCAUGGCUUAGUUGGUCACGGCGUCCGACUGUUAUUAGCACUGGCAUCGGAAGAUCGAGAGUUCGAGUCUCUCUGGGACAG